rnacentral:lncRNA from 1 species
GAUAGUACUCCUGUACGCUCCCGUAACCGACACACAAAAUUACCAAAAAUACUUUGUACAUGAUAGUACUUCUGGUACAUUAUAGUACUCUGGUAUGCGAAAGACUCGUACCCGAGAACAUAAUAGUACCCUGGCACAAGCAGCACCCAAGAUACAGAGCUUUGAAAAGGACUUCCUACAUAAAAUGUACUUCUAUACGUAGGACGUACUCCACCGAUCAUCAAUCUCACGACACACGUACUCUUAAUAAGAGGCUACCCAAUGUCCAAACAUAAUUGAACUAAACAUCCCAUUUAAGUCUUAACCCAUCACUAAGGAAACCUACAAUAUUUAUAAUCAAUUUCCGAUACUAUCUCCGUUUAGGAAAAAGCUAACUAAUGUAUACUUAACACAAAGUUCUCGUAUUAAAAUCACGUUCCUAAAAGGGACUAUACACAUGAUACCUUAUCGAAUGAACACGUAAUUCAAAAAUACAUAAUCCGUACUCCCGGAUCUAAAAUUAACCUCUUGAUCUGAUCCAUACUCUCGGAUCUAAAACUAACCUUUUGAUUUGAUCCAUACUCUCGGAUCCAAAACUAACCUCCUGAUCUGGUCCAUACUCUCGGAUCUAAAACCAACCUCCUGAUCAGAUCCAUACAUCCAGAUCUAAAACAAGUUUAUCUCUUUAUCCUUUUAUCUCAUGUUCCAACCCAUAUUUUUCACCUACCAACAACCUCAUCUACUCAUGUUCUACCCAACAUAUUUUUAGACACAAAAUAGAUAUAUAGUUUAACUCAUUAAAACUUAUAUAAUUCAUCCAUUCCACAAUCAUCUCAAAUAAAACAAUAUAUUAUACACAUAGCAUGUAUUUCAUAGCAAAUACUUAAUAUUUAUGUGUUAGAAGAAAGUGACCACACACUCACCUGAUCAGAAGAUGAUCGGGCAGCACUACGGCUUUUAGAAGUAGUAUCCUUCGGUGAAACUGUGAUCUCUUCACACACCGGACUUCUCGCAGGCAGAGCUUCGGCUCGGAAACUCUUUUCUUCUCGGGAUCUUCGGGCUUCGGGACCCGCUUCGUGUCUCGGGGUUAAUACCAGGGCUUCGGGGGUACUUCUUUGCACGUAAAUCGAGGUAAUAUGGGUGAGAGAUGAGAGAAUGAGCUACCAAACUCGGCUGGUCCUUCAAAUCUAUUUAUAGGGAAAAACUGGCCCUUGCCACGUCAUGGCACCUUUUCCCACGUCGUGGGCUUGGUCUUCACUGCAUGCAUCAUCGCAAGUUGCAUCUGGAGGACUCCCGGAGGUGUCAGAAGACUUGCCAUGUCGUGGUAUCUGACAGUUUUGGGGUUUCGCACCCCGAACUUCAGAAAUUCAUAACUUUCGCAUACAAACUCCGUUUUCGACGUUCUUUAUAUCGACGCGUAGGUGAGAUUAUGCUCUACAACUCUCGUUUAGACUCCAUUGGCUAAUUUUGAAUUUAUUUUUAAUAUAUUUUAAGUAUAUUACUUAUAUAUUAUCUUUAGUAGGCCGGGACAGGAAAACUCCGUUCGAAAUUCAUAACUCAUUCAUCUGAACUUCGUUUUUGUUUGUCUUUUUAUCGUUGGACUAUUAUCGAAGAAAUAUUCGAAUAUCGUUUAGAUCACUAAGGAUAGAUAUCUAUCUACCUUAAGUUCAGUAUUUACGUCGCGUUGGGUCAUGCCGGUUCUGUCGCGAAAGUUCCGCAGGUCAUAACUUCUUCGUUAUAACUCGGAUUUUGGCAUUCUGAAUAUGCACGGAAACCUUGUGACAUAUACUAAAACUUCGUUAAUAUUAAUCCUUCUAAAUAAUUUUCCAUCAAAAAGUCAUUUUUGAUGCUUAUCGUCUCUAAUUUGACUAGCCUGGAUCUACGGACGUUACAAUUAUCUCCCCCUUAGGAUGAUUACGUCCCGAAAUCAUCAAUGAAAUAGGGCUUGCAUAAUGAUUCCACACGUUAUCUCUUCAUCCUGGGUAAUAACCGUAACUUCUUUGUUUCCUUGAAAGAGUAUUUAACUCUAUGGCUUUCUUGACCGCAGGCGAUGCCUAAUCUUGCAUCUACUUAUCGUACUAUACUGUACUUUCAAUCAUAACUUCCGAGUUUACAAAAUAAAUCCUUAUCUAGGACUCCUUCUUCUUCUUAAGAUAAGUGCUUUCAUUCAUCUAUUGCAAUAGAUCGAUGGGUCAUUUUCUAAUGACCUCUCAUCGUAUGAUGCAAUGAUUAGACUCAAGUCUCUUAGAGUCAAAUUCCAUAAUGGAAUAUACCUUCCUUCAUAUUCUAAUGUGAUAUAAUCACAUUUUUAACAUGUAGCAUGCCUAGCUACAAACUCCCCCUUUUUUUUUAACGAGCGCGAUACUAUCAAUCGCAUUGAUUUCAAUCUUCUGACUUGAGUCAGAUGCUACCUCGAACUUGGUUCUAUGAACCACGUAUCAAACUCAUCGUAGUCGGACACAAUUUGAUAUGACCACUAGGGUCGGAAUAACAACCAUCUCAAUAGUCACUACCGAAACAAGGGUAAUGACACACUUGAACAAAACGGAAUCAGUUACUAUCUUCUUGGUAACCUUGUGACUUUUCCUGAUCCAAGUGCGAGUCCUGUGCUUCCGGUAGUAUAUGCAUCUACUACCUUUCACACCUACUCAUACUCGUCCCAAGUAUUGUCCCGUAGUCGACCAAGUCACCAUACAAGAAAAUCUCAAAACAAUUUAACACAUACAAAUGUGUCAAAAUAAUCAUAAACAAUUUACCUAGACUCUACUAGAACUUCUUCAUUGCUCUAUCUUCAAUCAUCAACUCUACUUCAACUCGACUGGUGAUGGAAAUUCCAGACGAUGGGGCAACUUCAAGAAUUACACCAACUGUUCCAUCAUCCUGCCAAUCGAAGGUGUACUUCUGACGUACCAUACUCAUCUAAACAUUCCGUUAUUUUAUCAUACAUAAAGUAAAAGCAUGACACCACUCUUACAAUAUCUUCCGAUAGGUGUCAUUCACUAUCAUAAACCCUUUUCAUAUCCUUCGUUUACUCAAUUCCUUACAAGUGUUCACCAUGACCUUUUGUACACCCAAGCAGACGUUCGGUGUACCGGAGAGAAUUUAAGAUAAGAAAGCUUCAUUUACGAUAAACGUAUAAAUCUCCCUAUCCCUCUAAAACGUUUACAUGCUAGUUCUAAUAUCGUAGUUAUACGCUUAGAAUCCUAUAUACAUAAGGUUUUCAUAUCCAGUCGGCAACAGACCAUAGAUCCGAACAAAUAAUAGCAUCAAUUUGGCUAUCACACAAAACAAUUAGCACAUAAAAGCAUUUUAGGCAUCAUUCCUAAAAUAAACUAGUGCUUGUGUCAAUUUAGGUGUACUACCUAUCAUAUUUUAGACACACUCCUCAUAAUCAUUACUUAGCAUUCUGAGUUUAAGUCUAAAAAUUUCCUACAAAUUCCUAGUUCGCUUAAACUAAUGCUCAGAUACCAACUGUGACAUCCCCAAUUUCAUGGCCAAAAAAGACAGAUUUGUUUAUGCUUUGUUUUUUAAAAUCAUGUAAUCUUUUAAAGAAAACAGUUGUGGAAUUUGUUCCCAAAACAAAAUAUGAUAAAAGUUUAUCAAAGAAUUUCUUUAAAGAAAUGUAUUUUCAUUAUAUAACAAAAUCUCGGGAAGUGAUGUUCAAUGCAGACCAAAAGCAUAAACAGAACACAAUCGACCUUACAACAGUUAUUCAUAACUACUGGCCUAUAAUCCAAAAUCUCUCGUUAUGUCAGCCAACUUAUGCUCUCGUGCCAUAACCUGUAAUACAAAGAAAACUGAGAGGGUAGGCUUGGGAGCCUGGUGAGCAUAUAGGGUUUUCAACCCACAAUAAUAUAAUUAUUAUAUUUAAUUAUCAAAUAAUCAAUCCAAUUACCCACCCCCUUUAUCUCCAUUUAUUUAGUAAAGAUUUACCCUAAGAACCGAAUACCCUUCUCCCAUUCAUUCCCGAGAAUUGCCCUAAGGAAUUGGCACAAAGUCUAGUGCUGCCAUGGUUCUUAGAUUACCUUUGGUGAACACGCAGUUCAAAAUAAUUAAUAAACACCCAGUUCAAGAACACCCAUUGAACACACCCCCUUCAAUAAUACCUAAUGAACACCUAGUUCAAAACACCUAAUGAACAAUUAAUUCCAAUAUUAUCCAAUGAACACCUAGUUCACAAACACUUAAUGAACACUUAGUUCAAAUAUUACCCAAUGAACACCUAGUUCACAAACACCUAAUGAACACUUACUUCAAAUAUCCCUGGUGAACUCAAUCACCUAAGGAACAUAGAGUACGAAAGCUCCUAGUUCAAACCACAUGAUACUAAUGUAUAUCUCGAUCCUACAAUACCACUAAUAUUAUUAACACAUAUAAAUCAUAUUUCUAAAACAAUCUAUCCUAUCCCAUCGAUCCCCACAUACUGACCCUAUACAAUGAUCUUACGAGAUCUAGCCUAAGGAAAUCGAUAUGAACAACAACUGACAAAGUUGCUUCGGAAAUUCCCUAGCAGCAAACGAGGAACAAAUAAAGACAUCAAAUGAGGGGAAUGGAAUAAGUUUCUCCACGAACCUUUGUUCGUAAAAGAAAGAACCACAAGACAUUUGAAGUCAGGGGUAGUUAUCUAGAUAACAAUGCCUAGGUGUGGUCCGACUAUCAUGAGGUAUUAUACCCCCAGACUCUACCUAUCCCAACAUCGAACUUUGCCUAGCAGUGCCCUGAAUACAUGAGGUAUUUCACCCCUAGACGCACCCUAUCCAGCAAUAUAACACCAGACAUACCUAUCAGUGGUCUAUUACCGACACACUUUAUUAGGCAGUCUACGAAGUUCCCUUAAUUACUUCGUGAAAGAAAACGCUGACAUAUGAACCUCGGUCGAUCACUUCAUAAAAGAAACGCUGACUCCAAAGCUCUCUCAAAAUAAAAGUAUGGGGAAAUACUACUAGAGUACUCCUGUACGCUCCCGUAACCGACACAUAAAAUUGCUAAAAAGACUUUGUACAUGAUAGUACUUCUGGUACAUUAUAGUACUCUGGUAUACGAAAGACUCGUACCCGAGAACAUAAUAGUACUCUGGCACAAGCAGCACCGAAGACAUAGAGCUUUGAAAAGGACUUUGUACAUAAAAUGUACUUCUAUACGUAGGACGUACUCCACCGAUCAUCAAUCUCACAACACACGUACUCUUAAUAAGAGGCUACCCAAUGUCCAAACUUAAUUGAACUAAACAUCCCAUUUAAGUCUUAACCCAUCACUAGGCAAACCCACAAUACUUAGAAUCAAUUUUCGAUACAAUCUCCGUUUAGGAAAAAGCUAACUAAUGUAUACUUAACACAAAGUUUUCAGUAAUAAUAUCAUANNNNNNNNNNNNNNNNNNNNNNNNNNNNNNNNNNNNNNNNNNNNNNNNNNNNNNNNNNNNNNNNNNNNNNNNNNNNNNNNNNNNNNNNNNNNNNNNNNNNNNNNNNNNNNNNNNNNNNNNNNNNNNNNNNNNNNNNNNNNNNNNNNNNNNNNNNNNNNNNNNNNNNNNNNNNNNNNNNNNNNNNNNNNNNNNNNNNNNNNNUAUAUAUAUAUAUAUAUAUACACACAUCUUAACACAUAUUGAACCAUAUAUGAUUCGUACGUUGUAUAUCAUCAAAUAUAUCUAACACGUAUUCCGGACAAUAACAAAUACUUCACAUACAUAUGUAUAUUUCGUACUUUAAUCAGUUCUCGUAUUAAAAUCACGUUCCUAAAAGGGACUAUACACAUGAUACCUUAUCGAAUGAACACGUAAUUCAAAAAUACAUAAUCCGUACUCCAGGAUCUAAAAUUAACCUCUUGAUCUGAUCCCUACUCUCGGAUCUAUAACUAACCACUUGAUCUGAUCCAUACUCUCGGAUCUAAAACUAACCUUUUGAUCUGAUCCAUACUCUCGGAUCUAAAACUAACCUCCUGAUCUGGUCCAUACUCUCGGAUCUAAAACUAAC